GUGCAGAUGGCCGGUCUGUGUGGGAUGGCUGUGAUGCUGGCCUUCAGCAUGUCCGUUGGAAACAGCUUGCCUGUGGAUGUGACUUGGGUUCAAAAUCAUGCACACAUCCUGAACCAACUCCUCACAGAAAACGUGCAGGUCUGUUUGGCUGUAAACUUCCCAGUGGACGACAACAAGCUCGAGGAGGUCACGAGAGAGACUCCCUAUGUGAUAACAGAGUAUAUGAAACAUGGUGUGUACCCAGGGACCAAUGUGGUUGCAGCAAUACCUCAAGAAAAUACAUCACCAUCUGGAAAGACAUACACUGAUCAUGCAGAGGCAGUUGUUCUGGACAAUAUAAAACCUUUAGUUGACAACAGUAAGGAUCAUAUUCUGGUCCUCUAUUCUUACCUUUCUCCAUGUGGUCAAAAGUGUACCAGCACAGAUCCUAAACACAAACACACCAAUAUCUUGGACAAGAUUAAUACAGCCUUUCAGAAUUCCAAAUGGGCAGACCGUGCCUUUGUGUUUACUAAAGUAUUCGAUGGGUACGGUAGAACUCAAUUUUCCGUAGAUGAUAUUAAAGAGACCUUUAAUAGGCUUGCAGGGACUCAAAUUGGUCAGAACAUAUUCCGUUGUUACUUCUCACAUAAAGGUCCCAGUUGCAUCAACUGCUUCAACAAUGGAGUACUUUCAGACGAGUGUGUUCAUAACUAGGCCUAGAUGUGUCAAAGCCACAACAGGGACUGUGGUAGAGUUUCCAUGGAGGAGAGGAGAUCUGGGGACCACAGUGAUUCAGGUUCAAGUGGAAUUUUAAACAAGUUAUUUGCUUAAAAAUGCACUUUCCUCUAUAAAACUACAAGCUAUGUCACUGCUGCUGAGGACCCACACACACUUCAGAUGUGUUCUUUGGUCCAAACCAUUCACCAGCAGAGCUUACAUUUCCUUGCACACAUACUGUUGAGGUGUAUGGUCAUUGUUUACCUGAGUGUUGACUGAUCUGGGGUUGUUUCAUGGAACUGAUGUGAAUCAUGUUCUGUACUCAUGGCAGUUUGGUCUGAAGAGGACAGAGACUCAUAUUUUCAGGAGUCUCAGUGUGGUUUUA